rnacentral:lncRNA from 1 species
AGGGCCACACUCGUGGUACAUGGAGGUUCCCAGGCUAGGGGUCAAAUUGGAACUGUAGCCACUGGCCUACACCACAGCCGUAGCAACUCAGGAUCCGAGCCGCAUCUGUGACCUACACCACAGCUCACCAGAUCCUUAAUCCACUGAGCGAGGCCAGAGAUCGAACUGCAUCCUCAUGGAUCCCAGUCAGAUUUGUUAACCGCUGAGUCACGACAGGAACUCCACAAGGUUGAUAUUUUUUGAUCCACCAAACCACUUGUAGGAUUUAACCCUAAAGGAAUAAUCAGAAAUGUAUAGAAAAUGUUUGCUCUUGUUUAUCUUAUCGAUAGUAUUGAAAAAUGAUCCAAAUGUUUAAUAGUGUGGGUGGGACUGGUUAAAUGAAUCUUGGCACAGCCAUGACAGAGGAUGCUCUUCAGCCAUUAAGUGGUAUUAUGAAAAGAAAAAUAUUUUAUUGAAUACUUAUGAUACAUCUGGCAUUAUGCGAAGCACCUUAAUUAUACUAUCUCACUUAAGCCUAACAAUAUCCCUAGAUGGUAGGUAUAAUUCUUCCCAUUUAUUCGAAAAAACACAGACGUUAAGUUCAAACAGCUGGUAAUGUUGCUGGAAUUCAACCCAUGUCUGCUCUUAAUCCUAAUUCUUAAUCACUGUGCUAAUGAUGGGGGAAAGUAUUCACUGUUUACUAGUAAGUUACUGUUGUUUGAGGGGGGUUGUUGGUGAGUUCCCAGCAUGGAGAAGGACAUGGACAGCACUGCAUCCUUAACCUCUAGGCUACCAGGGAACUCUGAGUUAUUGUUUUAAUGCAGGUUAACUGACCUUAAAACAAACAAACAACAAACUCCUUUUUUGUGUGGAGUUCCUGCUGUGGUACAGUGGUUUAAGUAUCUGACUGUAGGGAGUUCCCUCUGUGGCUCAGUGGUAAUGAACCUGACUAGUAUCCACAAGGUUCAACCCCUGUCCUUGCUUAGUGGGUUAAGGAUCCAGUGUUGCUGUGAACUGUGGAAUAGUUUGCAGACACAGCUUGGAUCAGGGGUUGCUGUGGCUGUGCUAUAGGCUGGCAGCUACAGCUCCAAUUUGACCCCUAGCCUGGGAACUUCCAUAUGCCACAAGUGCAGCCAUAAAAAAAAUAAAAAUAAGAUCCCUUCAUGUGAAAUCCCUUCUUCCUAAUUUUGGAAGUUACUGAUGAGCUGACAUGAUUUUUUCCCCCAAGAUGAAUCUGCCUUUAUACGUGUUCUUUAUUGAUUUUGAAAGUAUUGAAUGCCUGUUCUAAGAACUCAAGUGAUACUGAAGAUUAUGAAGCUCUUUUUAUUUUUAUUUUAAAAUUUUAUUUAUUUAUUUUUGGCCAUACCCAUCGCUUAUGGGAGUUCCUGGACCAGGGAUCCAAUCCAAGCUGCACCUGUGACCUGUGCCACAGCUGCAGCAGUGCUGGAUCCUUAACCCACUGAGCCACAGUGGGAACGCCUUUUUAAAUGUUCCCUCAAUUCUACCUCAUCUUGCUCUUGUGUCAGCUUACCCCUUGGGAUGGAGAUGAACCAGAAAGGCAUAUUGAGUGGAGGGAUCCAUGUAGGUCUAAAUGGCUAAAUUCCAACACAGAGAUCCAUAGUGUAUGUGAUUAAGCAUGGCAGUUGAAGCACUGUCCCUGGAGGCCAACUGUGUAGACUGUGUCCCAGCUUCUGAACUAGGGCAACUUACUUGUCCUCUUGGUGCCUUACUGUAAGGAUGAUGAUGAAGGUAUUGAUGGUGAUGAUGACAUGGCACACAUGCAGAGAUGGAAGAAAAGAAAAAUAACUUAAUAGCACUUAUGUACUGUAUACCUAUAUGGUCUCCCAUUUGAGCUCUAUGGGUUAGAUAUUUUUAUUAUUCCCAUUUUAUACAGAUGAGGAAUAUAAAACUCAGGAGCUUACAUAUUUCCACAUGUAGAGUGAAUCAUUAGAGGACAUGAUAAACACUGAAAGCCAGCUGACCGGGAGAUAGCAAAAUGCCAUGGAAUGAGCUGACAAACUGGCCUGCAGUGGAACUACCAUCGAGGACCAAGGCUCAGUGCUGGAACUUUCAGGACUGGGUGGUACCCAAUCUGGUAUCAGAAAACUGCUUUGGAAAUCCAAUUAUUUUUAUCCUGGCUGUAGUUUCUAUAAAUAUUUCUUUUUUUAAAAAAAUUUUAUGCCCACGUCCAUGGAACUUCCUGGGCCAGGGAUCCAGUCUGAGCCAUACCUGCAGCAAUGCCAGAUCCUUUAACCCACUCCACUGUGUGGGGAUUGAACUCAUACCUCCACAGCGACCCAAGCCUUUGCAGUCUGGUUCUUAACUCACUGCACCAUGGGAACUCUCUAUAAAUAUUUCUGUUUCUCCCUUAAUAUGUACUAAAAUUAUUUCUGAGUAUCAAUCUAUCUCAUUUGUGCUUUGAGGAAGCAAAUAGGCAAAAAGGAUCUUUGGCCAUCUUCUGCUGGCGUUUUCGAGAAGAACUUUGUCAGACACAAGGUGUGCUGGGCUUCAAAUGUCAGAAGCCCAAGAGGGCAAAGAUACGCACUGCAAGAAAGCCUCUUUCCCAAAGGCUUCUGGAGUAUUCUCUGCUCCAGGCUUGAAAGGUUUUGAACAAUGUUCUUUGUCUUAGAGGAUGGCCUUUCACUUACUCAUCUGUCCAGGAUGACUCAUCGCCAAGAGUGUUGAGUAAGUGAAAUUUUUACAGUAUUUAUGUUUUGGGACUUUAUAAACAUGGUGAUGUGGAAAGAGCAUGGACUUUGGAGUCAGACAGACCUGGGGUAAGUUCCUUGCUUUGUAACUUAGUAGUUGUGCAAUUUGGGGCUAGUUAAUAACUUCUCUGGGAUUCCUCAUCUAUAAAACAGGAAUGAUGAAAUUUACUGCACAGAAUGGGUAUGAAAAUGAAGUGAGCCAGCAAAAAUGAAAGUGGACCCUGUAACCUCUGGCACACAUAGUCACUUAUGCCUUUCCUUCUGCUGUCAGAUGGUGGUUGUGAGGUGAGCAUUUGCCAUGUCUUGUAUUUAUUUUUAUAUUUUCUACUAUAUAAAGUACAGUGCUUUGUUUACAUUUGCAUCUGUAAAUACCAGACAAAUGACAUUGGCAUCCAUGUGCAGAAACUGGAGCAUGAGUGGACAGAUUUAAGGUGUGUUUUAAUGUUUAUUCAUCUAUUUAUCCUAUCAUAGAGAACAACUGCGAAGUGUGGAUAAGUAGGAUGUGGGGUCAGGGCGGAGGAGUGAGGCAGGUCAUUCCCUGCACAGGGCCACCAGCUCCAGGGGAGAGUGGGGACUAAGCUCUCGGCCCCUCUGCUUACAGAGACCCUGAGAGCACCUGCCUUUGCUGGAAGGCAGCCUUCUAUGGGGGAAGGACAGCCCCAUCUCUUCGGAUGCAAGGGGCUCCUCUUAUAAACCAUUUGCUGGGCUUGGGUUAAAUGUUUUCUUUUUGGAGUUUCCUGGUGGCCUAGCCAGUUAAGGAUCUGGCAUUUUCACUGAUGUGGCUCCGGUUGCUUCUGUGCCAUAGGUUCCAUCCCUGGCCUAGGAACUUUGGUGUGCCAUGGGCAUAGCAAAUUAAUUAAUUAAUUAAAAUUAUGAAAUUAUGUGAAGAAUAAGAUGACACUCAUUGACCCAUGAAUUGAGAUGGCCAUAAUUGCUGUAACUUUUUAAAAUUUUUUUAGUUAAUAUCAUACUUUUAGAAAAACUGGAUGGAAUAUUACAAAGACUUCCCAUACAUUCUUCACAGUUUCCCAGAUUUAAUAGCUUACCACAUUUGCUUAUCCUUGUCUGUCUCUAUUACAUGCACAGAUUUUUUUUUUUGAGCCAUUUGAGAUUAAAUUUCCCUCCCUCCCUCUUCUUCCUUCCUUCCCUCCUUUCUUUCCACUAAGACAUUUAGGUAGAGCUAAAACUUCCCCUCCUUGCCCCUCCCCCUCUUCUCCCUCCCUGCCUCUCUUUGCCUUUUGUCAUUUUUUCCCCCUUUUUUUGGCCUCUCUGGGGCAUAUGGAGUUCUCAGGGAUCAGACCUAUGCUGCGACAAUGCUCCUUAACUUACUGUGCCAGGCCAGGGUUCAAACCUGCAUCCCAGCACUUCAGAGAUGCUGCAGAUCCUGUUACACCCCCGCAGGAACUCCACUCCUUGCCUUUGUCAGGGAACCUGAUGUUUUACAUGUUUUUGUGCUUUUACCACAUAUGAUUAGAUCUAUAGAGGAAUUUUUGUUAUUUUGAGACUUGUUUUGUAAUCCAGUACACAGUCACUUUUUUUUUUUUUUUGCUGUGCCUACGGCAUAUGGAACUUCAUGGGUCAGGGAUCAAACCCCUGCCAAAUCAAUGACCUAAGCCACAGCAGGUACAGCACCAGAUCCCGCUGAACCAUCAUGGAACAUGAUCAAUUUUACAAAUUGUUGCAUAUAACCUGAAAAUGAAUGUGUACUUUUUAAAAAAUUUAUUUUAUUUAUUUAUUUAUUUUGCUUUUCAGGGCUGCACCUGUGGUAUAUGGAAGUUCCCAGGCUAGGGGUCAAAUCAGAGCUGCAGCUGUCAGCCUAUACCACAGCCACAGCAACCCAGGAUCUGAGCUGCAUCUGCGACCUAUACUACAGCCUGCAGGGUUAAGCAUUGCUGAAUCUUUACCCUGCUGAGUGAGGCCAGGGAUUGAACCCACAUCCUCAUGGAUACUAGUUGGAUUUUUAACCCACUGAGCCACAACGGGCAGUCCAACAAGAGAAGUCAGCUUUUUAGAUAAUAUUGACCAAAUCCUUUUUUUCCAUUAUUCCAAAACUAAAUUUUAAUAUUCCUGUGAUGUUUAUGGAACUGGAAGCUUAGUAAAAAUGUUUCUUAGCUAAUUCAACAAAAAUUGAAUAUUAUUUGCUAUACAGUGGUAAAUAGAAUACAUGUGGGGAAGAGUGGGGAAAGUAGACACAAAACUAUUGAACCCAAAUAAAUUGUGAAAAUUGAUAAAUGAGAAAAGAACUGUUUCCAUAAGGGAGAAAACAAUGGGUUGUGGAGGAUGUUCCAAGAGGAAUGAACAGCUCUAGGAAGGUCAUGGGCCAGGACAGACCUUGGCCACUGAAGGGCUGGGCUGACAGAAGCCAGCAAGGCAGGAACCAAGAGGUGGCCUUACUGGGACAGACAUGCUGUUUGAGCCAUGUGAAAGCUUUUGAUUUUGUUCCAGGAAUUGGACUCUGUUGAAGGGUUUUCAGUGGAGAGUAAGAUGACUUAUUUAUAGUUUUAAAUAUAACUCUAACUGAUAGGCGGAGAAUGAGCAGAGAAAAUCUAGCAUGGAAGCAGGGUUACAGUAUAGAGCAACUUUGGCAAAUGCAGGUGUUUAUGACCUGAGAGUAUGUUUACCUCUUCUCAGAGAGUGUAACUCCACCACAUGGUGGAGUUCCCUUGUGGUGCAGUGUGUUAUCAAUCCAGUAUUGUCACUGCAGCAGUUUGGGUCACUGCUGUGCACAGGUUUGAUCCCUGGCCUAGGAAACUUCCGCAUGCCCCAGGUGUGGCCAAAGAAAAACCCCAGACCAACCACAUGGCAAGCCAAACAGACUUAAACUAACUUCAUCUGUAAAGAAUUGUUUAUACAGUUUUUAAUAAUCAUGGUAGAUUCUUCACAAGUCUAGAAGGUCUAAAAUUAUAGCCAUAACCCCACCAUAAUUUAAAUUUUGUAAAAUAUUUUUAUUUUGAGAAUUUUAAACUUCUGUAGAAAGAGAAGAGUGCAAUGAAUUCCCAUUACCUUGGGAAUUAAAUUACUCAAUGAAUAUUAGGUUUGCUGACAUUGACUUCAUCUGUCACUUUUCUUCCUUUGUGAAAUAUUUAUUUAGUGAUUGACUUUUUGCUUUUUAGGGCUAUAUCCUCGGCAUAUGGAGGUUCCCAGGCUAGGGGUCCAAUCGGAACUAUAGCUGCCAGCCUACACCAGAGCCACAGCAACACCAGAUCUGAGCCUCGUCUGUGACCUACACCACAGCUCACAGCAACACCCUAUCUCUAACCCACUUAGCAAGGCCAGGAAUUGAACCCACAACCUCAUGGUUCCUAGUCAGAUUUGUUUCCACUGUGCCACGACAGGAACUUCUCCUUUGUGAUAUUUAAAAGCAAAUCCCAAAUAUAUAAUUUUGUUCCUUACUAUAAUAAGGAUCCAACUCUAAAAUAUGAACAUUUUCAUACAUACCACAGACAUUCAUGAAAUGUAAAAAUUUAUUGCUAACAUCUAGUAUCAAUUCCAUAACCACAUUUCUUUGAUGUCUCAAAAAAUUUCUUUUUAUAGUUUAUUUGUUCAAAUCAGAAUCCAAAUAAGAUCCAUAGCAUGUAUUUGGUUGUUAGAUCUUUUAAGUCUCCUUUAACCCAGGGCACUGGUUUUUUCUUUCCUCCUUUUUUUUUUUCCUUUUAAAAAAUUUAUGUCAUUGAUUUGUUGUAGAAACUGGAUUAGUUGUCCUAUAAAAUGUCUAAAUAUUGCAUAAUAAAAACUCUUCAAUUAAAAAAAAAAGGACAAAAUGCAGGGUUUGAGCCUUUCAACUUCCAGUAAGUCAGCCCAUCUCUUUGGAAUGUUCUUUGAAGUGUCUGGCAUUCAAUCCAGUCCAGUGAACCAUAAACACUCACCACGCUUGGCACACAUACGCAGGCUGCUAAAUAACAGUGCUUUUGCUGGAUGUUUGAAUUUUAUCAUUCAGGCUUCUCAGGUUCUUGACCUGUUUACUCACUGUGAUUUGUCUACUGUUACUAAAUUAACAGAAUCUGAAAAUAGCACUAUUUCUGAAACAUUUUUUUAAAAAGCAAUUAAGAUAAUGCCUGUUUGCUAAACUCCAUCUUCUCUACUUCAGAAAUUAGAAAAUUAAAAAUAGUUGAACUGGAGGUAGCAUCCGUAAAAGCCAAAUUUGGUUCCACUUUGAAGAUGCAGAGAAGAAGCAGUGACCAGACAAUGCAUGUUUUCUUCACUUCAGCGUCUGCCUUCACCUUUGAUUUCUUUGCUAUAAUUAGCCUCUGUUGCCAGUUAAGCUAAGAACUUACUACCUGCAGUAACUAGAUCAGGAGUUCUUUUAGCUUUGUUGUUUCAAUAGUGCAUGAAUAUUAUUACAAAUUUAAAAGGGUUUUUUAAAAUGUCUAUCUCAUGCUAAUCAUUUUGACUCAUUUACUAAUUUGAAUAUUCAAAGCAAAGGUAUACUUCCAAAUCAAGCAUAGGCCAUAUUUACAGAAAACUGGAUAUUUAAUGUUUUUUCACUUCUGGAAAACCAAAAACAGUAUCUUCAUUGAACCUGUGCUCACACAUUCUGGACUUAACCCUGGUUCUACAACUUACAUGCUAGAGAAACCAUUUAAUUUUUCCAAGCCAUAGUUUUCUCAGGAAAAAUGAACGCACUCUACUUAAUUUAUAGGGACUUAGGGGUAAUAGGUGAAACGGUUUAAAGUGUAGCUUGGGUAAUUUUGGGUGUGUUCUUUGGAUCAGGCCCUAAACUAGGAGACGGUUGACAGAUAUGUAUUUGCUAUUUUAUUUGGCCAUGCCUUCGGAGGAGGGAUUGAACCCACGAUACAGUUUCAACCUGUUCCGAAGCUGUGGCAAUGUUGGAUCGUUAGCCCCCUUCACCAUAAGGGAGCUUCCCAUAUUAGUUAUUUUAAGAUGAAAGAGGGAGUUCCCAUUGUGGUGAAGUGGAAACGAAUCCAGCUAGGAUCCAUGAAGAUGCAGGUUCAAUCCCUGGCCUUGCUCAGUGGGUUGGGAAUCUGGCGUUGCCGUGAGCUAUGGUGUAGGUCAAAAAUGAGGCUCGGAUCCCGCAUUGCCGUGGCUGUGGCAUAGGCCAGCAGUUUCAGCUCCAAUUCGACCCCUAGCCUGAGAAAUUCCAAAUGCCGUGGAUGUGGCCCUAAAAAGCAACAAAGUUUUUAAAAAAAUUUUUUUAAAUAAAAAAUAAAGAUGAAAGAGAAAGGUUUGAGAACCAGGAUCCUCGAAUCCUCAACUAGCCAGCUACUGUGGCUUCAGCUGCCCCCUCUUGAACCCUUUAAGAGAUAAGUAGAGAGGACCAGGUUAAACAGACACCAGCCAAAGAUAAGAGCUGGAGCCUUGACAUAUGUUUGGGAUGAAUUGGGUGGUCAGCGGAUAAUCUUUCCUGUGGUCCACUGAUAAUUAGUUACUCUUUGUGCUCCUAUAACUCUUUGGAUUCAUCAUAUUCUGCCUUGUAGGAUAUUUAUUUUGUACAAAUAUAUACCAUCCACUUAAAUAUCUUAAGAGCAGGGGUCAUAUUUAUCUUCCUAGAAUUUCCUAAUGUAGUAAGAACUCAAUAAAUGUUUAUUUAAUCAAAUUGGCACUUGAAUGGCCAGAAAUGUCACCUCAUCAUAUGGUCUUCAAUUAGAAAAGACUUCGUAGUUGCAAAGUCGAAAAAGCAACUUAAACCAAGCCAAACUACACUAUACACUAACAAUGAGAUUAACAUUGGAAGGUAAUAUUCCAGGAGUUAUAAUGGACAAGCUGAAUUAAGUAUUGGUUUAUCCAUUCAUUUAGCAAACGUUUGUUGAGAACUUGUUGUACGUUAGACACUGUGCUUGAUGAACAGGAUGCCAAGGUGAAACUCAGCACUCAGGGAGUUCACAGUUUCAGUUGUGUUGAAUCUGGGAAUAGGUUUUGUUUUUUUUUUUUUUUUUGGGGGGGGGGUGUCUUUUGA